AAAAAAAUCAAAUAUUUUAUAUUAUAAAACGGAGGGAGUAGCUAGCAACAUUUAUCCCAGAGAAAGAAACCCAUCAUUAUAUAAGGUGAUUAAAUUAAGACAGGGUUCUUCAUCUCAUUAUUCAAGUGCAUUAAUAAACAACCUGAAGGCCGUUUACAUGGACAGCGACACACUUCAAUUCAAUUUCCACAGGCGACGAUGAACUGAACCUUCACGUACACGCGGCCGACGUAGCCUUACGGCCCAAACACCGGCACCUUGUUGUCGCAAUCGGCGUCGUCGUUGUCACUCAACGCCGCCCCAGACGAAGGCGCUCCGGCCACCGCCGAGGGCACGGCGAUGCGCGUGACGCUCCUGUUCUCCAGAACGCGGCGGCCGGCGACGGCGCCGUGCGCGGUCGAGACGGCCGCGGCGGAGACGACGACGACCGCGACGGUGAGGGUGGCCACGAGCGCGGCGAGCUUGGCCAUUUUCGCGGUGGUCGAUCGUCGUGUGAC
rnacentral:lncRNA from 1 species